rnacentral:pre_miRNA from 1 species
AGGAAUUUAACUGGGUCAAAUGGUGGUUCCAUUCCAGAUUUUCUAAGGAAUCUCCACACUGCUUUUCAAAGUGGUUGUAGCAUUUUGCAAUCCCACCAGCAAU